UAAUGUCUGGGAAACUGCCUGAUGAGGGGGAUAACUACUGGAAACGGUAGCUAAUACCGCAUAAUGUCUACGGACCAAAGCAGGGGCUCUUCGGACCUUGCACUAUCGGAUGAACCCAUAUGGGAUUAGCUAGUAGGUGGGGUAAAGGCUCACCUAGGCGACGAUCUCUAGCUGGUCUGAGAGGAUGAUCAGCCACACUGGGACUGAGACACGGCCCAG
rnacentral:rRNA from 1 species